rnacentral:rRNA from 1 species
ACACAUGCAAGUCGAACGGUAACAGGAAGCAGCUUGCUGCUUCGCUGACGAGUGGCGGACGGGUGAGUAAUGUCUGGGAAACUGCCUGAUGGAGGGGGAUAACUACUGGAAACGGUAGCUAAUACCGCAUAACGUCGCAAGACCAAAGAGGGGGACCUUCGGGCCUCUUGCCAUCGGAUGUGCCCAGAUGGGAUUAGCUUGUUGGUGGGGUAACGGCUCACCAAGGCGACGAUCCCUAGCUGGUCUGAGAGGAUGACCAGCCACACUGGAACUGAGACACGGUCCAGACUCCUACGGGAGGCAGCAGUGGGGAAUAUUGCACAAUGGGCGCAAGCCUGAUGUAGCCAUGCCGCGUGUAUGAAGAAGGCCUUCGGGUUGUAAAGUACUUUCAGCGGGGAGGAAGGGAGUAAAGUUAAUACCUUUGCUCAUUGACGUUACCCGCAGAAGAAGCACCGGCUAACUCCGUGCCAGCAGCCGCGGUAAUACGGAGGGUGCAAGCGUUAAUCGGAAUUACUGGGCGUAAAGCGCACGCAGGCGGUUUGUUAAGUCAGAUGUGAAAUCCCCGGGCUCAACCUGGGAACUGCAUCUGAUACUGGCAAGCUUGAGUCUCGUAGAGGGGGGUAGAAUUCCAGGUGUAGCGGUGAAAUGCGUAGAGAUCUGGAGGAAUACC